AUUAAGAGAGCACAGGCUCUGGAGCCAGAUAACUUUGAAUCCUGGUUCUGCCUCUUACAGCUGUGAAGGUUUGAGCAAUUCACUCAACCCCUCUGAGCCUCAAUUGCCUCACCUAUAAGAUGUGGAAGGCAGAGUGUCUCAGAGGCCAUGUGACAUGGGAUGAGUGGCAACAUUCCAGAUAGAGACUGCUCUGUCAGCCUGAGUCCAGAGUGAAGAUGACAUGAAGCACAGCCAUGGUGGACAUGUAGCAUGAAAGAUAAAUAAACCUCAUUGUAGGCCACUGAGAUUUUUGGAGUCAUUUGUUACUCAGCACAACCUAGCCUCUCCUAACUGAUACACAUGGUCUAUAAGCUCUUGCUUAUUGCUCCAUCUCUUUGCUAUAGCCCCAGUGGCCUUUCAGUACUCACAUACGAUGCUCCCUUUCACUUUAGAACAUUUAUCUAUGUUAUUCUCUUUCCUUGGAAAGUUCUUUACACCCUUUUCUGCCCAGUUAACAUUUAUUCACCAGUGAGAUCUCAGCUUAAAUGUGAAGUACUCAGGAAAGGAUUGCCGGACCUGUAUUCAAAGUAUCCUGAAUUCACCUUCUUUGUCAUCAUGUCUCUUUAACUAAACUAUAGAUUCCAUGAAGACAGAGACCAGGCAUGCCUUGCUAAGCAUUAUAUUCCCAGUGCUUUCCAAACAGCAGCUUUUUCUGCAUCUUCGUACACAUGGCAGAAAAUGGACAUUCUAGCCCUAGAACCACAACAACUCCCCACUUUAGGGCCACCAAUUGAUCAGCAUUUCAAUGCUCUAUUUCCAGACUCUUGGAGACAGAAUCUAGUUGGCUAAACUUGAACAUGUUCUAUUGUGUCCACCCAGUUUCCUGAAAGAUCUAGGUUAAG
rnacentral:lncRNA from 1 species